rnacentral:rRNA from 1 species
AACGAACGCUGGCGGCAGGCCUAACACAUGCAAGUCGAACGAAGUCUUCGGACUUAGUGGCGCACGGGUGAGUAACACGUGGGAAUAUACCUUACGCUGGGAGAUAACAUCGGGAAACUGAUGCUAAUACCGCAUACGCCCUUCGGGGGAAAGAUUUAUCGGCGAAAGAUUAGCCCGCGUCCGAUUAGCUAGUUGGUGAGGUAAUGGCUCACCAAGGCUCCGAUCGGUAGCUGGUCUGAGAGGAUGACCAGCCACACUGGGACUGAGACACGGCCCAGACUCCUACGGGAGGCAGCAGUGGGGAAUAUUGGACAAUGGGCGCAAGCCUGAUCCAGCCAUGCCGCGUGAGUGAUGAAGGCCUUAGGGUUGUAAAGCUCUUUCACCCACGACGAUGAUGACGGUAGUGGGAGAAGAAGCCCCGGCUAACUUCGUG